UUACUUCGGUGAGUGGAAAGUGGCGGACGGGUGAGUAAUGUGUAGAGAAUCUGCCCUUGAGUGGGGGACAACAGCUGGAAACGGUUGCUAAUACCCCAUAUGAGAUAUUUUGCAAUAACUAUCUUGAAAACUCCGGUGCUCAAGGAUGAGUCUGCAUCUGAUUAGCUAGUUGGGGGUGUAAUGGACCACCAAGGCGACGAUCAGUAGCUGGUUUGAGAGGAUGAUCAGCCACAAUGGGACUGAGACACGGCCCAUACUCC
rnacentral:rRNA from 1 species